rnacentral:miRNA from 2 species
AGGGACUUUUAGGGGCAGCU